rnacentral:rRNA from 1 species
GGGUUGUGAGGUUAAGCGACUAAGCGUACACGGUGGAUGCCCUGGCAGUCAGAGGCGAUGAAGGACGUGCUAAUCUGCGAUAAGCGUCGGUAAGGUGAUAUGAACCGUUAUAACCGGCGAUUUCCGAAUGGGGAAACCCAGUGUGUUUCGACACACUAUCAUUAACUGAAUCCAUAGGUUAAUGAGGCGAACCGGGGGAACUGAAACAUCUAAGUACCCCGAGGAAAAGAAAUCAACCGAGAUUCCCCCAGUAGCGGCGAGCGAACGGGGAGCAGCCCAGAGCCUGAAUCAGUGUGUGUGUUAGUGGAAGCGUCUGGAAAGGCGCGCGAUACAGGGUGACAGCCCCGUACACAAAAAUGCACAUGCUGUGAGCUCGAUGAGUAGGGCGGGACACGUGGUAUCCUGUCUGAAUAUGGGGGGACCAUCCUCCAAGGCUAAAUACUCCUGACUGACCGAUAGUGAACCAGUACCGUGAGGGAAAGGCGAAAAGAACCCCGGCGAGGGGAGUGAAAAAGAACCUGAAACCGUGUACGUACAAGCAGUGGGAGCCUCUUUUAUGGGGUGACUGCGUACCUUUUGUAUAAUGGGUCAGCGACUUAUAUUCUGUAGCAAGGUUAACCGAAUAGGGGAGCCGAAGGGAAACCGAGUCUUAACUGGGCGUUAAGUUGCAGGGUAUAGACCCGAAACCCGGUGAUCUAGCCAUGGGCAGGUUGAAGGUUGGGUAACACUAACUGGAGGACCGAACCGACUAAUGUUGAAAAAUUAGCGGAUGACUUGUGGCUGGGGGUGAAAGGCCAAUCAAACCGGGAGAUAGCUGGUUCUCCCCGAAAGCUAUUUAGGUAGCGCCUCGUGAAUUCAUCUCCGGGGGUAGAGCACUGUUUCGGCAAGGGGGUCAUCCCGACUUACCAACCCGAUGCAAACUGCGAAUACCGGAGAAUGUUAUCACGGGAGACACACGGCGGGUGCUAACGUCCGUCGUGAAGAGGGAAACAACCCAGACCGCCAGCUAAGGUCCCAAAGUCAUGGUUAAGUGGGAAACGAUGUGGGAAGGCCCAGACAGCCAGGAUGUUGGCUUAGAAGCAGCCAUCAUUUAAAGAAAGCGUAAUAGCUCACUGGUCGAGUCGGCCUGCGCGGAAGAUGUAACGGGGCUAAACCAUGCACCGAAGCUGCGGCAGCGACGCUUAUGCGUUGUUGGGUAGGGGAGCGUUCUGUAAGCCUGUGAAGGUGUGCUGUGAGGCAUGCUGGAGGUAUCAGAAGUGCGAAUGCUGACAUAAGUAACGAUAAAGCGGGUGAAAAGCCCGCUCGCCGGAAGACCAAGGGUUCCUGUCCAACGUUAAUCGGGGCAGGGUGAGUCGACCCCUAAGGCGAGGCCGAAAGGCGUAGUCGAUGGGAAACAGGUUAAUAUUCCUGUACUUGGUGUUACUGCGAAGGGGGGACGGAGAAGGCUAUGUUGGCCGGGCGACGGUUGUCCCGGUUUAAGCGUGUAGGCUGGUUUUCCAGGCAAAUCCGGAAAAUCAAGGCUGAGGCGUGAUGACGAGGCACUACGGUGCUGAAGCAACAAAUGCCCUGCUUCCAGGAAAAGCCUCUAAGCAUCAGGUAACAUCAAAUCGUACCCCAAACCGACACAGGUGGUCAGGUAGAGAAUACCAAGGCGCUUGAGAGAACUCGGGUGAAGGAACUAGGCAAAAUGGUGCCGUAACUUCGGGAGAAGGCACGCUGAUAUGUAGGUGAAGCGACUUGCUCGUGGAGCUGAAAUCAGUCGAAGAUACCAGCUGGCUGCAACUGUUUAUUAAAAACACAGCACUGUGCAAACACGAAAGUGGACGUAUACGGUGUGACGCCUGCCCGGUGCCGGAAGGUUAAUUGAUGGGGUCAGCGCAAGCGAAGCUCUUGAUCGAAGCCCCGGUAAACGGCGGCCGUAACUAUAACGGUCCUAAGGUAGCGAAAUUCCUUGUCGGGUAAGUUCCGACCUGCACGAAUGGCGUAAUGAUGGCCAGGCUGUCUCCACCCGAGACUCAGUGAAAUUGAACUCGCUGUGAAGAUGCAGUGUACCCGCGGCAAGACGGAAAGACCCCGUGAACCUUUACUAUAGCUUGACACUGAACAUUGAGCCUUGAUGUGUAGGAUAGGUGGGAGGCUUUGAAGUGUGGACGCCAGUCUGCAUGGAGCCGACCUUGAAAUACCACCCUUUAAUGUUUGAUGUUCUAACGUAGACCCCUAAUCGGGGUUGCGGACAGUGUCUGGUGGGUAGUUUGACUGGGGCGGUCUCCUCCUAAAGAGUAACGGAGGAGCACGAAGGUUGGCUAAUCCUGGUCGGACAUCAGGAGGUUAGUGCAAUGGCAUAAGCCAGCUUGACUGCGAGCGUGACGGCGCGAGCAGGUGCGAAAGCAGGUCAUAGUGAUCCGGUGGUUCUGAAUGGAAGGGCCAUCGCUCAACGGAUAAAAGGUACUCCGGGGAUAACAGGCUGAUACCGCCCAAGAGUUCAUAUCGACGGCGGUGUUUGGCACCUCGAUGUCGGCUCAUCACAUCCUGGGGCUGAAGUAGGUCCCAAGGGUAUGGCUGUUCGCCAUUUAAAGUGGUACGCGAGCUGGGUUUAGAACGUCGUGAGACAGUUCGGUCCCUAUCUGCCGUGGGCGCUGGAGAACUGAGGGGGGCUGCUCCUAGUACGAGAGGACCGGAGUGGACGCAUCACUGGUGUUCGGGUUGUCAUGCCAAUGGCACUGCCCGGUAGCUAAAUGCGGAAGAGAUAAGUGCUGAAAGCAUCUAAGCACGAAACUUGCCCCGAGAUGAGUUCUCCCUGACUCCCUGAGAGUCCUGAAGGAACGUUGAAGACGACGACGUUGAUAGGCCGGGUGUGUAAGCGCAGCGAUGCGUUGAGCUAACCGGUACUAAUGAACCGUGAGGCUUAACCUUACAACGCCGAAG